AAAAAAAAAAAAAUUAAUUGGGACAACUUCCAGCGGGGAGCCAGGUGUGCUGGAGGCAGGAGAGCCAUCCAGAGCAGGGAAUGAUUUAGAGGGAAGCACGGAGAGGAUUUGGGAAACCAUGGCACCGGGUCCCCACGGUGCUCAUUAAGGUUGUACAGAUUGCAGCUCCCAGCUCUCCAAAGUGCCCGUUAUUAAUCCAUAAAAACAUCGCCCGAGUGAUUGAAUCCGAUGAUUACUGGAGCAGGCAAACACGGGAGAUGGGAAAACAUCCCGGUGCUCUCCAGCAAGGCUCUGGAAGCAGGGCAAAAAAAUAAAAAAUAAAAAAUACGGGGAAAAGAAAAAAAAAAAGGGAAAUGAUGUGAAAUAUUAAUGAGAGCUGCUUGCCCCCGGGCAUGGAGCACAAUCCAGGCUUUCCCAGGGAAAGAGCUGAUUACCGGGGGAUAAACAUCCCGAAAUAUUCGGGAUCUUGGGAUUUCACCUCUGGUGUGGCCGCCAAAGCCGAUUCCCUUAUCAGCCCUCUGCAGGCGCGGCCCCGGGGGAUCCGCAGCGUCGGGAGCGGGAUGAGCCUCCUCCCACGGAAUUAACCGGGAUGAGCCUCUGGAAAACGGAGCCUGGGGCAGAGCAGGGGGUUUAUGCUGGCUGGGACACCUGGAAGCGUAACCAGUGCAUGGAGGACAUCUCGGGAGUGCCAAGGAUUACCGGGGAAUUCGGGAAGGAGGAGCGCCCAGUGUGCCAGGCGGGGGUGGAAGCGCCACCCCGCAGCCCCCAGGGAUGCGGGAAUGUCCCCGGGAAUGAGAGCAGGGUUUGGGUUGUGCUGGUUGGGAUCGAGUGCGAUUGGGAAUAGAACACCCACGGCGCUGGUUUUCCGUGGCUGUUGGACACAGGGGACACCGAGGGUGGUGUCACACCUCGCCUCCCUCGCCUUUCUCCCAACAUUCCCUUCCCACUUUUGUUCUGUUUUUCCCCAAAUCCCAGAAUCCCAGAGGUUGGAAAAGCCCUCCAAGGCCAUCGAGUCCAAGCUGUGCCUUGUCCCCAGCCCAGAGCACUGAGUGCCACCUCCAGGAAUUCCUUGGGCAUUCCUUGGGUGAUUCCUUGGGAUUCACCAAAGGAAUUCCAAACUUCCCUGGGCAAUUCUGAUGCCUGACCACCUUUUCCAUGAGGAAAUUCCUGCCUGGAAUGGUUUUAAGCAAACAAAUGGUGCUGCUGAUGAGAGAAUGGUCUAAU
rnacentral:lncRNA from 1 species